CUCUCUCUCUCUCUCUCCAGCUCUUAUAUCAUCGCCUGCAGCAAAUCGGUUGGUGGGAGUGACCUCAUCACUCGGACGGCGGUGUCCGUCCUGACCUCGCACAGCCCGGAGACCGUCCGCAGGGAACCCAACUGUGUAAAUACUCACGGAGACACGCGGAUCCUCGCGGAGACUCGUGGAGACUCGCGGAGACUCGUGGAGACACGUGGAUCCUCGCGGAGACUCGUGGAGACACGUGGAGACUCGUAGAGACACGCGGAGACACGUGGAGACUCGUGGAGACUCGUGGAGACUCGUGGAUCCUCGCGGAGACACGUGGAGACACGUGGAGACUCGUGGAGACACGUGGAUCCUCGCGGAGACUCGUGGAGACACGUGGAGACACGUGGAUCCUCGCGGAGACUCGUGGAGACACGUGGAGACUCGUAGAGACACGCGGAGACACGUGGAGACUCGUGGAGACUCGUGGAGACUCGUGGAGACUCGUGGAUCCUCGCGGAGACACGUGGAGACACGUGGAGACUCGUGGAGACACGUGGAUCCUCGCGGAGACACGUGGAGACACGUGGAGACUCGUGGAGACACGCGGAGACACGUGGAGACUCGCGGAGACUCGUGGAUCCUCGCGGAGACACGUGGAGACAAGGACACGUGGAGACACGCGGAGACACGCGGAGACACGCGGAGACUCGUGGAGACUCGUGGAGACACCCGGAGACUCGUGGAGACAAG